rnacentral:lncRNA from 10 species
AUUUGAGACAGGGUCUCAUUCUGCCACCCAGGCUGGAGUACAGUGGUGUGAUCACAGCUCACGGCAGCUUCAACCUUCCAGACUCAAGUGAUCCUCCUACCUCAGCCUCCUGAGUAGCUGGGAAUACAAGGGCAUGCCGAAUAACUUUUUAAUUUUUUUUGUAGAGAUGAGGCCUCGCUAUGUUGCCCAGGCUGGUCUCGAACUCCUCGACUCAAGCAAUCUUUCCACCUAGGCCUCCUAAAGUGCUGGGAUUACAGGCAUGUGUCACCAUGCCCAGCCCAUAAAUUUUAAAGGGUUUGUUCUUUUGCAUCAAAAUGCAAAUAUGGUCCAUUCAUUGUAAUUGGUGGAUGCAUCUUUUCAGUCUCUUUUAAUCCACUGGCUUUCCCUCCAUCUGUCUCUUUUUUCUUCUCAUAAUCUUGUUGAAGAAAACUGAACUGUCUGAACACUACAUGGAUUAAUUACUUCUCCAGCUCAGAAAACUUUAAAAUUUCUCACAAGACAAAACAUCCUGACAUUCACGGCCCUUCAUAUUUUGAUACCAUCUUAAAUUCUCACGAGGUGUCCUGUCCGGCUGGUGUUCUACUGUCUGUUGACAGUCCUCAGAGACAGGACUUGCAUCUCUGUGUCUGGGCUCUUCUCCUGCCUUCGCCUGCACCUGGAAAGCUCACCCACCCUUUUCCAUUUCCUUCACUGCUAGUCCAGUUUAAAGUCUCAAACAUUUCAAAAACCCAAGGGUGGGUGCAGUGGCUCACGUCUGUAAUUCCAGCACUUUGGGAGGCUGAGAAUACAGGCGUGAGCCAAAACUCUAUUUUAUUUCUAAAGCACUAUCUGGUUUAAAAGCAUGAUAUAAAAGGAAACAAAAAU